rnacentral:lncRNA from 1 species
UGAUUUCUUCAGUCCCACUAAUUACUUUCUACUACUCUGUUGAACUAUUUUGAAUUAAUUUAAUCUUCUUUUUGUCUUUCGUUUUGCUGAUCAUACUUUUAUAUUGACUUAAAUCAAUACUAAGCUUAAUUAGGACAAAUCUUUAUUAGAUUUCAACUCUGCUACGGAGGUCGUACUAAUAGCUAACUCGUGAUAGCUGCCUUUUUUUUUGGGUCGGUUUAGUGCUUUCCAUCCCAUCAUAUAUAGAACCCAUUAAUUUAUCUUAACUACUCAAAAUCAGUUUUAUCAAAAAAAAAAAAAAAAAAACAACUCUUCAAAAUUAGUUUGAGUUGUUAAUUAAUGUCGUGUCUUAAUUUUGUUGUGCAGAAGUAAUAAUUUUCGGUAAGUGGUAGGUGGUUCUGUUAACAAAUUUAUAUUGAAAUCGUACAUAUUUAAAAUUUUAAACACUCCCUUCAUUUUACCAAAUUACUCCCUUUGUUUUGAAUUGUACAUGUCUUGAAUUGUACAUAUAUAAACACUCCCUUUCUUUUGAAUUGUACAUGUCUUAAAACUUUCUUUCACUAAAAUAAUCUUAUUUAACAUU